CCGAGGCGGGCGGUGCGGCCAGUUACCAGGGCGCGAAGAACAUGACGAAGUGCGCGGCGCUGUGGAUGCCGUGCGUGAACAUGUCGGCCGUGUACAGCCUUCCAAGAGCUCCAGUGGGAGGAAUUGCUGCUGACAGCGGAAAACUACAGUUUCUGUCUUCCACCUGCUGAGAGUGAAAUGAACCCCCAAUGUGUUGCCACUUUGGGAAGAGGACCCCACAGAACAUUCUCUUAAUAUGGAAACUGAAAUGCCACCAUUUGAACCCCUCUAACAGAACAUCCUGCAAGGUGCAUCUAAAGAAGAAGAGAAACCGUAGUUUUCUCAAGGAGCUUUUGUGAUGGUUCAGAUGUGAGUGUUGAGGAAGAGGGCAGAGCUGAAGGAUUGCUCUCAACAGAGAAAGUCCAAAGAAAAAGACUGAAGGUCCUGGGCAAAGAGUGAGGCAAGUGAAAAUGAGAACGUUGGCUUUUUUUUUUUUUUAAUCAUUCCUUUUUUAAUUAAAGUAUGGUUGAUUUACACUG